rnacentral:rRNA from 1 species
AGUAACACGUGAGUAACCUGCCUUUUACACAGGGAUAGCCUCGGGAAACCGGGAUUAAAACCUGAUGAAACUAUCAAAAUCACAUGAUUAAGAAAGUUAAAAACUCCGGUGGUAAAAGAUGGACUCGCGUCCCAUUAGCUAGUUGGUGAAGGUAACGGCCCACCAAGGCAACGAUGGGUAGCCGGCCUGAGAGGGUGAACGGCCACAUUGGAACUGAGAAACGGUCCAAACUCCUACGGGAGGCAGCAGCA